rnacentral:siRNA from 1 species
CUCAAUUUUGAUAACUCGUGUUAC